GUGCCAGAUUGUAGCCUGAAGCCCUCUGUUUAUCUAUAGAUUAGAUUAAAGCAAAGAUGGCAGCCAUGCAAGAUUCCCCAUGGUGACUAGCUAAUCUGCCUCAAUCCUGACCUGGAGUGACCACCUCUAGAGGGGAGAAGAUACCACUCUGUGUGUACAUUUAGUGCUUUGCUUCUCUGCU
ensembl:misc_RNA